rnacentral:rRNA from 1 species
AUUGAACGCUGGCGGCAGGCCUAACACAUGCAAGUCGAGCGAGAGGCGGACGGGGGAGUAAUGUAUGGGGACUGCCCGAUGGAGGGGGAUAACUACUGGAAACGGUAGCUAAUACCGCAUACUAUCGGAUAACCCAUAUGGGAUUAGCUAGUAGGUGAGGUAAUGUCUCACCUAGGCGACGAUCCCUAGCUGGUCUGAGAGGAUGAUCAGCCACACUGGGAUCGAGACCAGGCCCAGACUCCUACGGAGGCAGCAGUGGGGAAUAUUGCACAAUGGGCGCAAGCCUGAUGCAGCCAUGCCGCGUGUCUGAAGAAGGCCUUCGGGUUGUAAAGUACUUUCAGUCGGGAGGCGUUACCCACAGAAGAAGCACCGGCUAACUCCGUGCCAGCAGCCGCGGUAAUUC